CAGUGAGGAAUAUUGGGCAAUGGGCGAAAGCCUGACCCAGCAACGCCGCGUGAGGGAUGAAGGCCUUCGGGUUGUAAACCUCUUUUCUGGGAGAAGAGACAAGGACGGUAUCCCAGGAAUAAGUCUCGGCUAACUACGUGCCAGCAGCCGCGGUAAUACGUAGGAGGCUAGCGUUAUCCGGAUUCACUGGGCGUAAAGCGCACGCAGGCGGUCAUGUAAGUCAGACGUGAAAGCUCCUGGCUCAACUGGGAGAGGUCGUUUGAUACUGCAUGGCUUGAGGUUGGGAGAGGGAAGCGGAAUUCCCGGUGUAGUGGUGGAAUGCGUAGAUAUCGGGAGGAACACCAGUGGCGAAAGCGGCUUCCUGGCCCAUACCUGACGCUCAGGUGCGAAAGCGUGGGGAGCGAACGGGAUUAGA
rnacentral:rRNA from 1 species